UACGUUUAAUCUUUAAUAUGUAUUAAUCAAUAUAUUGUGUGUAUACGUAUAUGAGUGUGUGUAUAUAUAUAACUUAUAUAGAAUCUAGAUGAAGCCGGUUGGUGUGAAGGUGUUUUUCUUUCAGACCGAUGAUGGAUGACAUAUACAAGUUUCAGUAGAUUGUCUAUCGCUAAAUUUCGGCAAUUAUCCGCUACGAGAAGGAAGAACUGGCCCAAUGGAUGUCAGUUAGGAAUGCUUUCUGUCGUGAGAACGAAAAUGAAACUGAAAAAAGUCAACAGUCCAAAACUCCCUAAACUCUCAUUCGUCAUAGUCUGGCAGGAAAGUUUCAACAUUUCAGUUCCCCCGGGGGUGGAGGAAAGUUUCAACAUUUCAGUUCCCCCGGGGGUGGAGGA
rnacentral:lncRNA from 1 species